CUGUAAUCCUCCACAUCAAAGGUCUCCAUAGAUCCUCAAAGCAUUCAUGGUGUAACUGUGAAUCACUGCGUGAGGUGACGUGCAGUAUUUCAGUAGGAAUAGGGACGCGUCCCCCAUUUGGCUUGCUUGAUAACCCACCCGGUAGACAUCACACCGUGAAACCUGACAGUCUCAUGUAACCUGUUACACAUGUUACACCAAUCAGAAGUGAUUUUUCUGGACUGUUGCAUCAGUUGUUUACUGCCGAUUUUCCGUCAGGCACCAUUAGUUUGUUGCAUCAUUGCCAAUCGCUGUGAAUGGAUGACGACUUGCCGCAACAUCUGCUCCUCCCUUAAUCUUUGUUUUAACCUGUUUUUUUUUUUUUCCCUUUAGCUGUUUGUUUCAAACCGCUUCAACUACCUUUCACCCAUUUGAGAAAUUACUUGCGUUAGUUUUGUCAGUGUUAAUUUUAAAGGUGGUGCACGCGGGCCCAAAAAGACAUCGUGGCAUCCAGAGGGAAAGCCUCAGCCUCCACGCCCUCAUCUCCACGCUGUGAUUGGAUGAUCCCCGAAGUGUUGGCUCAUGUUCCUUCAUAUGUUUCUUAAUCAUUUAGAGGUAAACAGGAGACACAUGAAUGAUUCGUGGAGAUUUUGGGCACCAGCCGCUUCAGGAAGACAUUAAUCAGAUCUUUGCACAUCUUCUCAAUACUUCCCUUUCUGAUCUAGUUGAGAGGUCAUGGAGGUUUUCUACAUCAAUUCGUCUCUGCUCUUCAUCUCUCACAGACCGCUCAACUCCACUGCGGUUGAGAAGACAGUGUAUGAGUCCUGCAGAAACAUGCCUGCCGUACUUAUCUGGUAUCUGAGCCUGCAGUUCACUAACAUGUUCCUAGGCAUCCCAGCCAACGUCACGGUGCUGUGGCUCAUCCACAAGAACAAACGCGACUCUUCCACCUCUGACAUCUUCAUCCUUCAUCUGGCAGUUCUGGACGUCCUCUUCUGUCUCAUCCCUCCCCUGGAGCUCGUAAACCUCGUCUUCCUCACCACGACUACCAGCACCUGGUACGUCCUGCGCUUCUUCUACGGCAUCAAAGACUCCUCGCCCCUCUUCCUUUCUUGCAUCUGCCUGGACCGCUACAUGGCCGUGGUCCACCCCAUCAUCUUCACUAAGCUCAAAGACCGUCUGCACAGGGCAGUCCUGGCCAUUGUGGUCUGGCUGAUCAUUCUGGUCUACGCAGCUGCCAAAUGCGCAGGAAACAUCGUUAACUUCGACAAGGUUUUCACGGUGAUGAUCCUCGGAGCGUUCGCCUUCAUGGUGUACUGCAACGUAGCGAUCCUCUGGGUGCUGAGGCAGUCGCGGCCUGGCGGAGAUGCCAUGCAUCCCGUGAAGAAGAAAGCCUUCAAGAUGGUCCUCAUUAUCCUGGCCAUCAUAGUGUUCAACUACUUCCCACCUGUCGCACUCUUCCCGUUCAAAGAGUACUUUUCCCCCGAUGUGUUUCGCUGCUAUAUUCACUACAUCGCCUUCGGCUUGAUGGACUUCAGCAGCACCAUUCAGCCUGUGCUGUAUCUGUCCAAGGAGGGGCUGCCAUGGAGCAUCACCUGCAGCCAGAGGAGCAACACUUAAAUCCAGCGGGGCUACAUGUAUGUUGGAUGUAUUCGAACAAAUGUACUGCUCCUGCUUGAUUGCAUGUUGAAAAUUAUGAUUAAUGAAACAUUUACCAAUGAGGUAAAUAGAUCUAAGCGCCCUACAAGACCCCAGAAUUUUGAAGUUCUUGGUUUAAUUAACAAGAAAGGUCAGACCUACAGAUAGCUCUGAAAUAAUACAUCUUUAAGGGGUGUGGGAAGUUAUAAAAAUCAUUGUUAUUUUACUAGAUUUCAUAGGAUAAUUAAUAAAGGAAUGAGUAUCUUAGAGGUUAGUUAGUGACACCCUCAAACAGCAGUUACAGUGGGUGCUGUCAGUAGGUGUGCUGUGACACUUUAUGUGAUUUCACUCUGCCACUGUAACAUUUUCUUUAAUUCAAUUUUUUAAAAGAAAACCAUGCACACCUAUUUCUUUAUAUAUCUGAUUAAAUAAACAUGCAUGCCCUUUUCGUCCUCGCGUGUAGCCAUGUCCUCAGUUUGAGUCGCAAACUACAAGGAAUCUAAUGCACAUGAGCGCAGACAACAGAGACUAAUUGCAUUUAAGGCAACGAGGAACACCAGCGAUAAAAUAUCAUGUUUGGAAAUCAGGCAAAAACAAUGGUGGACAGAUAUGAGUACACGUUGGUGAGAUGAUGUCGCCGCUUCCUUUUGGCAAUAUUUUACAUAUUCAAACCUCAGAUACCUGCAGUCUGACCGCGAUGAGGCAACAGGUCAUAAAUCCCUUUCAUAAAGAUGAUAAAUUUUCACAUGCAGCCUCCCUUAAAAUUCACGGUGCCAUGAUCUUCCCUUUAAAUUCACACAAAUACUUGAUACUGGUAGCAGCAGUGGAACAUUUGAUGGUGUUGUGGAAAAUCUAACAAUAACCUGCAACACACCCAGUGAGCUUGAUUUGAAGUGGGUUUAGUAAACGCACUGCAAUGUGGAGAGAGCAUCCCAGUGAAACACUAGGUCCAUCUGAAUUGUGGCCACCGCCCUAACAUCUUAUAUACAGAGACACAGACAAAGAACAUUCCACAAACUCUUACAUGUUGGCCCUCUCACGGGGGGGGG
ensembl:lncRNA